CACAGUGCUCACCUCCAGUGAUGGGGACAUCACUACUUACUGAGUUAAAUCCUUCAGUUUUGGAAGAUAGUGUAGAAGGGACAUUUGGCUUAGGCCUAGGCCUAAUGAUCAUGAAGGCCUUCCAAUUCCAGACUUUUGAUAUCAUCUCUAAAUGAGUGAUACACACAAUCCGUAUGUGGAAAUAUUCGUUUGUUAAAUGCAAAUGUUUCAGUCAUAUCACAUUUUAUUUUUUAUUUUUUGCAAAGAUGUGUUAGCCUUCCCCAUUUUUUAUAUACCAGGAACCUGAAUUGUAAAAGAAGACACAUCAUGGCCUGGUCCGCUAUCUACAUCUAGGAGGCCCCAGGAAUUAUCAAAGACCUUUCCAUUGCAGUGUUUCCACUCUGUGUGGAGGGUUAGGGAACAUUGCCUUGGUGAGUGCCUCUUGCUUAUGCCCUGAGUGUCCUUAGCAUGGAAGCAUGGGAACUAGAGGGAGGUCUUGCUCUAAUUAAAAGGGGUUUAAGUUUGCUGCCCAGGACCAACAUUACAUAGCCAAGAGCACUGCUGUUUUGAGGAGGAGGGCAAAUGGUGGGGGGAAGAGAGGCAGUGGCCAAGUCAGGUUUCUCAGGAUCCUAGAGACCCUGCUUGGUAAGGAAUGGAGCAAAUUCCUUGUGCACAUGCCAGGCCGCCGAACCACACAGUUCCAGGGGCACCCUAUGCGUGGUGUUCUAUGCAAAUGUCUCCCAAUGGGGUUGUGCCACAUGGAGGCCCUGAUGCAAACCCCAAUCCCAAAGGGCACUCCCAAAGUAAGCUGGUGCUACAUGAGGGGGCUGAACCCCAGAUUGCAAGGUAUUCACAGACACUGGCUCAUGAGGAGGCCACCGUCCCUCUCCCACCCAUGACCUCUUUGUCCUUUAUCCUGAGAGCAUCUGCCUCUAUUUACACUAAAUAGCUCCAAUGGCUUUUGCUGGUUCCUGUAUUUUGGGCAAGCUGAGCUGGAGGCCCCUGCAGCCGGUCUGAGCAGGUAGCUGUGCUGGUGAUGGUCACGCGGAAGGUCCUGCUCUUCCAACAAAGUUUAGCAAACACCUUAUCUCCCAGAAAACAGAUGAGGUAAUGUUUAUGAAAGAUCACUCUGUCCCUUUCCACUGGGCUGAGGGGUGCCAGUGUGACCAACUUGUGCCAGAAGGUGGACUCUCCUCAGCCACCUUGCUCCCCCAUUCUCCUCUCCUGCUCCCUCAUUUGGGUAGGAAACCUCACUGAUGUCCUUUCUCACCGCAGAUGGUGGGAGAACAGGACUCUCCAUUCCGGACAGUCCAUUCAGGACUCACCUUGGCCUUUGUGUCUCCACUUUUCAAGGCACAUUCACAGCUCCCUUAUAUGAGGAAACUGAGGCAGAGAGAAGUAAAGCAUCUUGGCCAAAGUUACAGGCAGGGUAGUGGCUGGACUGGGGACCCAGGGUCCUACUUCUGAACUGCUUUAUUUGUGAUCACCAUUCAUUUAAAGAUUCCUUAUUUUUGAGAUGGCUGGCUGACUGGAUGGGUGGGAGCUAGCCAUAGAUACAGAUCAAAGAAAGAUAGCUCACAGGCAAGUAACAGGUGGCAAGAUAGAGAUGAUUGUGUAAGUGUAGAUGGUUCCUGAAGGAUACAUAAAAACAUUGUGGACAAUAGUUGCUCCUGGGAAGGCAAUGGGGAAUCUGGGUGAGAGAGACUGCUUUUUAUUCUUCUUUACCUUUGCUUCCUCUGAACUGUUGAAGUAUUUUUCUUGCACACAUAUUAGUUUUUUUAAAUGUUUGUUUAUUUAUUUUUGAAAGAGAGGGAAGGAGAGAGAGAGAGAGAGACAGCAGGGGAGGGGCAGAGAGAGAGGGAGACAGAGAAUCGCAAGUAGGCUCCACACUGUCAGCACAGAGCCUGAGGCAGGGCUCAAUCUCAUGAACCGUGAGAUCAUUACCUGAGCCAAAACCAAGAGUCAGAUGCUUAGCUGACUGAGCCACCCAGGCACUCCUGUACACAUACUAGUUUUAAAAAAUUCCCUUUUCUACUUUUAUUUGUGGUAUGAUUUUCAUGUGUUUGUCCACAGGAGAGAUUGGAAGCCCACACUCUAGGAAAGUCACACAGCGGUGGAAGGUGGGUGACAUUCAGUCUUUGGCAUCUGAGAACCCAUGUGGCUGCCCCGGUUACCUCUAUCCCUGCCUCCGUUCCUGGAGGGCCUGUUUGCAGAGCAACAGCAGAGAUGUUUAUUUCACCGGUGCUUGCAAAUAGGACUGAUUGGGAGCCACCUAUAUCCCCACAACUUAGAACUCGUUAAUGAUCUUCAGUUCAGCUGCAUAAUGGAAUACCAUGCAGUCACUAAGAAUAAAUCAGAAAUCCUAUAAUUUCUGCACUCGGUGUUAGAUUCCACAGCGGAACAAACACCUCUUGCCUUAUGCAGUCUGGUUUCAUGGAUUGCACAGGCUCCUUGGUUGAUCUGGAUGUCAACCUGGGCUGGGGGCUGCUGUUCAGCGUUUAGGGUUCCUCUGAAAGGGAAUGCAGAGAAGUCAAGUCAAAAUGUGUCAAAGAUGUUACCAACAAUCAUGUCUUGGUUGUGAUACUUUGAGUAACUUAUAUUAUUUUUCAGUUUUUCCUUCUAUUUCCAAUAUGCAAAUAUACUUCCUAAUUAAAAAAAAUAAACAUUUAUAAAGAAUCUUGUAGAUAAAGAACAAUAACAGAAAUCACUGCACAGGAGGACUGGAAGGAAAUAAGACAAAAUGCUGCCUUUAGAUGUCUGGCCAGGAAGAAGAUCUACAUGUUCAUGAAAACAUCACAGGAGAAAUAAAUGUGAAAGAACAUCAGGGGAAGACAGACUCAUGUCUUGGAGUAAGGUCUUGCAACUUUGUCAUUUUGUAGUUUGUGUCUCUUGGUGGAGGAGAUUCCAUCCACAGCCAGUGGUGGUGACCCCACACUGCUGGGCCAUUCCUGGUUCCCUUGCUGUGAGUGUGAUACAGGGUGUUGGUCCGCUCUGGGUGAAGGGAAGAGGGUCAUGAAUGGAGAGCAAGGGGAGGCAGAAGGGUGGGCCAGUGGGAUCCGGGAGAGCCCCAAGGAUCUGGGUAACCAAAGCCAAGAGGAGCACACCAACUGCCCAUGGGCUAAGGUCGGAAGUCUGGGGAAGCUGAGACAAAAAAAAAUGGGGGUUCAGCAAGGGGCACACGGAUACUCAAAGCAGAGGGGAAAUUCUACUUAUGGACCUUCAUGGCAUUCCAAAAUGAGUUAACCCCUGGGAGAGGCUAAAUAUUGAUAGUUUUUCUCCCUGUCCCUCUGGCCAACUGUCUUUUUUAGGGGUCCCCGUUAGCCCCAUUAUAGCUCAACCCACCUCAUUCCAUUCUGUUCACCCCACUCUGUGCCAAGCGCUGCUUGGCGACACCAGAGGACUGUGUGUUGGGAUAAGGAAGAAACAAGGUAAACGUAUUACAUGACUAGUGCUGUCCUUCGGGCAGGGGCAACAUGGUAGCUGAUGGGCUGAGGCAGGCAGGAAAGGCUUCCAGAGGAGCAGGUACUGAGCUGGGUCCUCAAGGACACUGUGAGCAGCCUCCCAGCACAUCUGAGAGAGGAGGGCGGUUUCUGGAAAAUACGUAAGAGUGACGGAUGCCCCUGCCAUGUGCCUGGUGGAUGUCAGCUUCUGAAUUGCAGGUGUGUUCAGAGGAGAUCUGGGGCCAUGAGGCUACCACACAGGUGGAGUGGCCUCCAAAGGGCAUUGACUGACCUGCUGAGGGAUCUGUAAUGAGGGGGAGAGACAGGUCUGAUUUGAACUUGGCAGUGGGUGUCCAUGUGAGACAAUAUGGAGAGGUACCUCUGUUAUCCUUGGUAUCGUGUCUUCAUUUGGGGGAGAAGAAAUUCUAAAUUUAUCAUUUAAUCAGAUGACUUUAGAAAAGUAGCUAUCUAGGUGCUGAGAAAAUUGGUUCAUUUAUUCAAACUUCAUUUAUUCAUUCAAAACAAUUCUUGUACCUCAGUUUAUAUUUCCUACUGCUUAAAUUUCUGUGGUGUCUACACAGAUUGUUAAGGCAUUGUUCUAAUCUCAAGAACCUUAAAAACAGAAGGAGGGGAAGGUGAGGACUAACACCAUGGUGUUAACCCAUAAACUGAGCUGGUCACAUCACCACCUCACCACUACUUAAAAUGUCCCAGUGGGUUUCUAUUUCUCUCAGGAAAAGUACAAACUUUUAUCCAGGCCAAAACAUCCCUCUAUGGCCUCACCUCCUGAGACCCAUCUCCUAGCACCUCCCUUCUUUUCCCUCCAUGCCAGCCUCAUUGUCCUUCUUUAUGUGGUCCUUACCAGGCUGUCUUCAACCACAGGCCUUUGACACAUGUUGUUCCCUCUAUCACUGUCAUCUCCCUGGGUUCAUGUGCACUCAUCCUUCUAAGUGCACAUCAAUGCUGCUUCCUCGGGGUAGGCUUUCCUGGUCUAUUUAAAUUGACUCCGUCCUUAGAACACAACUCAUACUCCAUAUAACAUCCUUCAUAAGUCUUAUCCCAGUCACAAGAAUUUUUCAUUUAUGUACAUGAUAACUUUAUUAAUAUCUGUAUUCACCAGACUGUAACCUCCAUGAGAACAAGGGCUGUGCCUUUCCAAAAAAUCAACUUUACUGAGGCAUAAUUUUUGUACAACAAACACACCCACUUCACACGCACAUUUCAAUGAGUGUUGACAAAUUUACACAAAAAUGGAUUCACUGUGUAACCACCAACACGGUCAAGAUGUGGAACAUUUCCAUCGCCUCAAAAAGCUCCUCGGUGCCUCAUCCCAGUCAACUCUCUGCUUUGCUUCCUGUCUCUAUAGAUUAGCUUUUUCUAGAGUUUCAUAUAAAUGGAACCAUGCAAUAAGCAUUGUUGUGUCUGGCUUCUUCCAUUCAACAUAAUGUUUUUGAGAGUCAUCCUUGUUGUUGUAUCAGUGGUUCAUUGCUUUUUGUUGCUGAAUACUCUUCUCCAGUUGGUUCAUGGAAAUUACCUGUGUCUCUUCAGGUAAGCCUUUAGCUCCUUAAGGACAGAGGCCACAUUCUUUGACACCUCUGAUACUUGGUGUGGGCCUAGGCACAUAGGAGACCUUUGGGAGUAGCAGAGUCCAUCUUCCCUGACCCAGGGCAUGGGAGUGGCCACUCUGUACCCACAUUCAACAGUCACCCUGAUACUCACAGUCUUCCCCUCCAUGCCCACAGGCUGACCUUCUUGGCCCAGGGCUCCCAAGCACAUUUACCUCCUUCAGAAUCAGUCUGAUGCCUCCCACAGCAAUGCAGAGAAGUCCUGGACCAGCCACAGCAGUUAGGGGGCAAAGCUGGGAGAUCACAGGCAGAUCAGAUCCCUCUGACACUGGGCACGUUGAUUUCCUUAACUGCCAAACAGAGACACUGCUGUCUACCUCACAGGGCCACUAAGUGGGCACAUGUGUGUGAAAGUGCCACUUGAAGUAGAAAACAAAAUACUACACAGUAAGAGUGAAUUUAAUCAUUUAAUGGAAUUAACAAUGGCCUGUGUUACCUGGGACCCCUUUUCCCUCUCAGUACCUUCAAUUUCUUUACCCAUCAGAUGAAAAGUUGAGCUAGAGUUCCCUAAGAUGCCUUCUGUCUUGAACCUUCUUGGAUUCUAAGGUGCUGGAAUAUGAGAGAAAGGGCCUGAUGAUCCAGAAUUAGAAAAAAAUUUGUGUGAUUUUUUUAGAGAACAACUGACUUCUCUGAAAGUUCUCUUCCCGAGUAAAGGAUUCAGCUCUAGUUGUGAGAACAAACCAAUGUUUUUGCAUUAAUAGCCUUAAAUCUGCCACUCUUUCCAAGCCUGUCAUGGAAAGUACUAGAGCUCCUUUCUUCCCAUGUGCUGGCUGGUGCUAUGUGGCACGUCUUUUGCUGGACUAGAUCUUUGAUGGGUCCUCAUUACUGGAAGAGCAGGAACAGCCUCCCCUUUUGCAAAAGCCAAUAGUUCAGUUCAAAUGACUCUUUGUGGGCCCUGUCACUCAACAAAGGAUUCCUGAGGGCCCAUGUGUGUUAGGGCCUUUAUAAGUGUUGUCUCUCUCUGCCUGUGCUGGAAGUCUUAGACCACAAUUUAAGAUGGAGAAAUGGCUCAGUGAGGUGUGUAACUGAUCACAUUGGAGCUAAAUCACCAGGUCCUCCUUUCUGCUCUAAUAGGCCCUGCACUAGGCCCAGGGGAUUCCAAAAUAGUUCAGUCACACUUGAAUUCUUGGAGGCCAGGAAGCGAAAGCAAUAGUUUAAUAUUUAUUGAAGAGAAACCCAAGGCUGUCAAGGUUGUCACUAAUUCACCAUCUCGUUCAACUCCCUCAUUUUACUGAUGAGCUGACAGGGGUCCAGAGAAGUGGUCUGACUUGCCUGGAGUGACACAGCCAGCUGGCUGCCAGCAGGAGCUGUUACCCAGGCCUCCUGACUCCCAGAUUGGGGCUUUCAUGGCCAGAGCAUGCCCUGGGGCAGAACGGGGACUGUGGCCAGAAACAAGGAAGUGUGGAAUUAGGAACAAGGCUAUAUUUCCAAAUCACUGUGUCCAGCAUGCCGGCUGGGAGCGAAGAAGAAGAAUGGCGUUCUGGGAACCAGUCAGCAGAGACCAUUUCGUAACUGCCCUUAAAAUAGUACAAUGCUGUGUCCUUUUCCUGUGACCUCUGGCAGACUGCAGGACAAAUCUCAGAACAAC